UCGGGAAUUUUGGGCAAUGGGGGAAACCCUGACCCAGCAACGCCGCGUGAAGGAUGAAGUAUUUCGGUAUGUAAACUUCGAAAGAAUAGGAAGAAUUAAUGACGGUACUAUUUAUAAGGUCCGGCUAACUACGUGCCAGCAGCCGCGGUAAUACGUAGGGACCAAGCGUUGUUCGGAUUUACUGGGCGUAAAGGGCGCGUAGGCGGCAUGGCAAGUCACUUGUGAAAUCUCCGAGCUUAACUCGGAACGGCCAAGUGAUACUGCCGCGCUAGAGUGCGGAAGGGGCAAUCGGAAUUCUUGGUGUAGCGGUGAAAUGCUUAGAUAUCAAGAGGAACACCUGAGGUGAAGACGGGUUGCUGGGCCGACACUGACGCUGAGGCGCGAAAGCCAGGGGGAGCAAAC
rnacentral:rRNA from 1 species